AGAGUUUGAUCCUGGCUCAGGACGAACGCUGGCGGCGUGCUUAACACAUGCAAGUCGAGCGGAAAGGCCCUUCGGGGUACUCGAGCGGCGAACGGGUGAGUAACACGUGAGUAACCUGCCCUAGACUUUGGGAUAACCCUCGGAAACGGGGGCUAAUACCGGAUAUGACUUGGUUCCGCAUGGGACUUGGUGGAAAGUUUUUCGGUUUGGGAUGGACUCGCGGCCUAUCAGCUUGUUGGUGGGGUAAUGGCCUACCAAGGCGACGACGGGUAGCCGGCCUGAGAGGGCGACCGGCCACACUGGGACUGAGACACGGCCCAGACUCCUACGGGAGGCAGCAGUGGGGAAUAUUGCACAAUGGGCGGAAGCCUGAUGCAGCGACGCCGCGUGAGGGAUGACGGCCUUCGGGUUGUAAACCUCUUUCAGCAGGGACGAAGCGUGAGUGACGGUACCUGCAGAAGAAGCGCCGGCCAACUACGUGCCAGCAGCCGCGGUAAGACGUAGGGCGCGAGCGUUGUCCGGAUUUAUUUGGCGUAAAGAGCUCGUAGGCGGCUUGUCGCGUCGAAUGUGAAAACCCGAGGCUCAACUUCGGGCUUGCAUUCGAUACGGGCAGGCUAGAGUUCGGUAGGGGAGACUGGAAUUCCUGGUGUAGCGGUGAAAUGCGCAGAUAUCAGGAGGAACACCGGUGGCGAAGGCGGGUCUCUGGGCCGAUACUGACGCUGAGGAGCGAAAGCGUGGGGAGCGAACAGGAUUAGAUACCCUAGUAGUCC
rnacentral:rRNA from 1 species